rnacentral:rRNA from 1 species
UACGUAGGGCGCAAGCGUUGUCCGGAAUUAUUGGGCGUAAAGAGCUCGUAGGCGGCUUGUCACGUCGGGGUGUGAAAGCCCGGGGCUUAACCCCGGGGUCUGCAUUCGAUACGGGGCUAGCUAGAGUGUGGUAGGGGAGAUCGGAAUUCCUGGUGUAGCGGUGAAAUGCGCAGAUAUCAGGAAGAACACCCGUGGCGAAGGCGGCUCUCUGGAACGCAACUGACGCUGAGACGCGAAAGCGUGGGGGAGCAAACAGG